AGCAGCCGCGGUAAUUCCAGCUCCAAUAGCGUAUAUUAAAGUUGUUGCAGUUAAAAAGCUCGUAGUUGAAUUUCGGGAUCAAUUGAUUGGUCAUGCCUUGGUAUGAACUGGUCAUAUUGGUUCUCACCUUCUAAUGAACCAUAAUGUCAUUCACUUGAUGUUAUGGGGAAUUAGGACUGUUACCUUGAAAAAAUUAGAGUGUUUAAAGCAGGCUUACGCUUGAAUACAUUAGCAUGGAAUAAUGAAAUAGGACAUCGCAUUCUAUUUUGUUGGUUUCUAGGAUCGAUGUAAUGAUUAAUAGGGAUAGUUGGGGGCAUUAGUAUUCAAUUGUCAGAGGUGAAAUUCUUGGAUUUAUUGAAGACUAACUACUGCGAAAGCAUUUGCCAAGGAUGUUUUCAUUAAUCAAGAACGAAAGUUAGGGGAUCGAAGACGAUCAGAUACCGUCGUAGUCUUAACCAUAAACUAUGCCGACUAGGGAUCGGAUGAUGUUAAUUUUUAAAUG
rnacentral:sRNA from 1 species